AUGGUUGGAAAGACGGAGAGAGUGGAUAUGGAUUUCACUCGGGCUCAUGGAGUGGCUCGGAUGUUGGUGAGUGUCCUCAAUGUUGAUUUUGUGCCUGAUGUGGUCCACUGGACAUAUAGGGGAGAGGUAUUCCCGCUCGAUAUAGAGUUUGAGGAUGUUGAGAUGUUUGCUGAUGAGGUUGCUGGGGAUGAUGUUGAUAUGCACGAGAGUGAGGGUGGUGCAGGAGCCAGGGGGCGCCAGACGAGUCUGCUCGAGAGGGGUCGACAGGGUCUCGCCCAGAUGCUCAGUUGCUUGGGGAGGGGACCAGAGUUGAGCCGACACCGUCACCUUCGGUGCCUACGACGACACUGCGUUUUGGGUCCUUUGCACCUGCCUCUGCGCCUCCCAAGAUGUGGAGCGAUAGGGUAG
rnacentral:rRNA from 1 species